UACGUAGGGUGUAAGCGUUGUCCGGAAUUACUGGGCGUAAAGAGCUCGUAGGCGGUUUGUCGCGUCUGCCGUGAAAGUCCGGGGCUCAACUCCGGAUCUGCGGUGGGUACGGGCAGACUAGAGUGAUGUAGGGGAGACUGGAAUUCCUGGUGUAGCGGUGAAAUGCGCAGAUAUCAGGAGGAACACCGAUGGCGAAGGCAGGUCUCUGGGCAUUAACUGACGCUGAGGAGCGAAAGCAUGGGGAGCGAACAGG
rnacentral:rRNA from 1 species